GCUGUGCUUUUAUUCAUUUAAAGGCUUAAUAAAAAAAAAAAAAAAAUGUAUUCAAAACUGAAAAAUUAAUAUUAAUUAUUGCAUGCAUUUAUAUGCACUUGUAUUUCCUCAACAUUUUGAUCAUAGAGUUCUCCAGUGAAAUUGCGUAAAUCAUCAAGAAAAGUUGGAAUACAAAUACACAAUGAUGCAUGGUUCUUAAACAAAGUCAAUCCCUGUACUCAUAAUGUGCACCAAAAACAAGUAAAAAAAGAAAUCCCAGAAUGCUGGGUUUCAUUGUAAAAGAACAUUGCUGAAUAAAAAUAUAAGGUCUAAUAUUACUGCCAUUAUUUUAAAACCUUUAACAUCAUAAGAAAAUCAAAAUUCUUUAAAUAAACACUAUCAACAAAGUUGAGAUUCAAGCUAUUGACUUAAAACAAUAAAAUAUCAAGACAGGAAUGUGUUAAACAUGUAUUGUAUUCUUAGAAACAUAUUUUAGAUGUUAGACCUUAAAAAAUUUUUAAAAUUGCAUUUAUUAUGACUUCAAAACAACAUAAAAAUGGUUUAGGGAAAAAUGCUUUCAAAAUGCUUUGCACUGUUGUUAAGGUUUCAAAAUAAACCAUUCAAAUUGACGGUUCAUUCAACCUAUGCCAACAUUUUGAAAUUUAGGUAUAAAAUUGUGUGAAAAAAAUGUUGGCAUAGGUUGAAUAAUUUGUUACAGAUUUUAAAAGUGUUAUAUAAACAUAAAUUAAUUAGGGGCUAAUCAAUCUACAACCAGUUUAAACCUAGCGUUAAAGUAUAAUCAAUAUACAAUUUAAGGGCCAAAAAAGGGACCCAAAUAAGCAUUUUAGUAGUUUCCAGACAAUGACUUGUGUUAAGUGUAUGAAUCUCUCUCUUGUAACACAAGCUUCCAUACCACAAAGGAAUGGUUAGGAUUGACUGUGGGGGUUAUAGCUCAAACCAUUUAGGAAUCAGGGGCAAAAAAUGGGGAAAACAAGGGUUUCCUGGUUAAUGAACUAAAACAAAGUAAAUAAAUUUUUAUCAAAUGUUGGCAUAGGUUGAAGACACCCAAAUUGACUUGUACACAUGAACUACAUACAAUAACCACACAGAGUAUACAAUUACAUUGGUAACUCAUAGUAUCAACUUUUAACUAUCAAUUUUGUUGCAAUAAAUUAUGAUGUUCCAGUCAACUUAAACAUGUUAAAACCAAAAUUUCACAUGGGAAUUAAAAUCUGAAUUUUAACUCAUCUAACAUUGAUCAUUCAACAACAGAUAUUGUCAAAACUUUGUCAACAAUGUUGCAACAAAAUGAGGAGACUCAGAAUUCAUAGAAAAAGAUAAAUUUCUGUGCAUUUUUUUUACUUUAUUAACAUCAACAUCCAAUGUAAUAAAAAGAAUAAGUAAUCUAAAUGCACAUAUUGCAAAAUUUACAACUCUUGACAAAACAACAUGAAAUUUAACUCAUGUGCUAUGAAGGCUAUGAACAUUUAUGAAUUCACAUGUUUUUCCCUCACACUUUCAAUAUGUUCAAAACCCAAGCUCUGAGAUUUUAGGUGUUCCAUAUAGGAAUUCUUUUGUAAAUUAAAAUCUUAAGAAGUUGUUUACAUCUGUCAGAAUAUGGUACAAUUUUUCAUAAGUUGGAUUUCAUUCUAAUUAUUAUGUAAUUAUUUGAGUGAAAUCCGCUAUUCAUUUUUUUUUAUUUUCUUCAUGGAAAAUUUAGCAAAGAUAAAAAUAGCCUGAAAACAUUUGGCAAAUGUUGCAAAUAACCAAAAAAAAUCUUCAUAUACACCCAUAUACUUUUUUCUUGCAAGAUCUUUGGAGAUCAGUAUAACUGCAAUCGUGCACCAUGACCUGACAAGUCUGUUGCAUAUUAAUUAUAUGUUGACACGAAAACUUCUCUUUCAUAAAGUUAUGUGGUUGCAAACACAAUUUUAUUGUAAUUUGCCAAUUAAAAAAGCAUAUAUAUACACAUAUAAAUGCACUGUGAAUACAAUAUCUAUCACAACUGAAGUAAAAAAUAAAAUUAUGUAAAAUAUGGCACAAAUUAAUAUAUAAUAAAAAAUUCAAAAUAUUUUCAACAUAGCUAAAAUUUCGUCAUUCAUAAAGAUUGUAAAUUAACUCUAUAACAAAUCCGGCUCUUUCAUUAUAAAUAAAAUGGCACUAAUGAAAGGCACUUUGAAAUCCAUAUUCAGUGGUUUUUCCAGGAUUUUAAACCAAAAAAAAAUUGAACUCAGAGAAAUCCAUAGAAAAAAAAAGAUCAGUCAAAAAUCAGUUUAAGGUUCUUGAAAUUGACACAUUUUAGCGCAUGUCUGGCGUCUUAAAUUAUAAUCCUGGUACCUUUGAUAACUAUUUAAGGGGAUGUGAGGAAGAGUGUCAUAUAUUUUGAGAAUCAAUUUGGAUCUAAUGAAUUAUCAUUAUCAAAUUCACUCAUUGUAUUUCACUUCUCUUCAUCUUAAAUUUUUUGUAAUAACUGAGUUAUCUUCCAUCUUAGAUUGUAUUUUUAAGUUUUGAAUGUUUUUGACCAUUUAAAUGAUUUUUUUACUUUAAUAUCUUUUUAUGAUUCUCAAAUUUCAGUUUUAUUUUAAAAUUAUUGACCUAGAAUCAAAUAUAGUAUUUUGAUCAUUUACCAAAAAUUUAUUAUUUUUUUCAUUAAUUAACUACAUACUGUUAUUUGUUAU
rnacentral:lncRNA from 1 species